rnacentral:lncRNA from 1 species
CUUUCCUUAAGCAUGCCAUUUAUUACAUCUCUACACAUUUGUGGAAGGAAUUGUCUCUCUUUCUGAAACGUCUGCAAUGAUGAUCUAGCUCACAUGCCAGCUACUCCCACAUAGUAAGGAUUAGCAAGAAGUCAACUGGAGAUGGUGGCUGAAAGGAAGGUUUAUCAUCACAGCUGAGAAUAUGUGAAGACUGUCAUAAAGCUGUCAGAUGUACUGGUUCAUCUCCACUGGAUUCUGUGUUGUAAGUCGAUGUAUCUCUCUCCAUUUCUCUUUCCUUUCCUCCUUCCUCUUUUCUUUCCUUUGUUCCUUCUC